rnacentral:tRNA from 1 species
GGGCCAUUAGCUCAGGUUGGUUAGAGCGCACCCCUGAUAAGGGUGAGGUCUGUGGUUCG